rnacentral:tRNA from 1 species
GGUGUUAGGACCGCAAAGCGGGUUGGUUCGAUAUACCAAAUUGUAAGUUUUCUUCAACACUA